rnacentral:lncRNA from 1 species
UUGUUUCAUAUGCUUUGCACAGGUCUGUAGCUACACACGCUGAAGCUCCAAGGUUAUACACAGACUUGCAAACUCAAGGUUAGUCACCUCUGUGAUAUACAUCUUUGUGAAGCUGUGAUUCACUGUUCCUAGUAUUAGUUUUUGUACAUUUAUUACAAUGUGGUCAUGUGGAGCAUAACCUAUGGUCUGUUCUACAUUCAGGUUCAGCCUACAGGCCAGUAUCCACAUCUCUUGCUGAAGCUACAAGGUCACGCACAAAUCCACAUGGGCUCAGUGUGUAAUUCAUAUGCAAUGUUAUGUUCUUUAUGCAGGUGGAGUUUAAUCCAUGGUGUUUUUGUUUUAGCUGCUUUGCACAGGUCGGAAGCUGCUGGCUCAUUCACGGAAUUGCAAACUCGUGGUAUGUCAUUUAUGGGAUAUGCAUCAUUAUGUUGCUGUCUUUCAUUGUUUCCACUUUUUUAUUUUUUGUACAUUUAUUAGCUAUGGUCAAAUGCCUGUGGUCUGUUUUAUGUGCAGGCUCGUUAUACACACCAGUAUCAACACCCCUUGCUGGAGCUAAAAGGCCACACACGGAACCACAUGUGCUUGGUGGUUUAUGCAGGCCUGCUUCGACACAUGCUGAAGUUACCAGCUUCACAGAGUUGCAACCUCUUGAUUCAUCGUACAGGCCGGUAUCCUCAUAUCCGACUGGAGCUACAAGGUCACACGCAGAUCCACAAGUGCU